rnacentral:rRNA from 1 species
AUUGAACGCUGGCGGCAGGCCUAACACAUGCAAGUCGAGCGGCAGCGGGAAAGUAGCUUGCUACUUUUGCCGGCGAGCGGCGGACGGGUGAGUAAUGCCUGGGAAAUUGCCCAGUCGAGGGGGAUAACAGUUGGAAACGACUGCUAAUACCGCAUACGCCCUACGGGGGAAAGCAGGGGACCUUCGGGCCUUGCGCGAUUGGAUAUGCCCAGGUGGGAUUAGCUAGUUGGUGAGGUAAUGGCUCACCAAGGCGACGAUCCCUAGCUGGUCUGGAAGGAUGAUCAGCAACAAUGGAACUGAGACACGGUCCAGCCUCCUACGGGAGGCAGCAGUGGGGAAUAUUGCACGAUGGGGGAAACCCUGAUGCAGCCAUGCCGCGUGUGUGAAGAAGGCCUUCGGGUUGUAAAGCACUUUCAGCGAGGAGGAAAGGUUGAUGCCUAAUACGUAUCAACUGUGACGUUACUCGCAGAAGAAGCACCGGCUAACUCCGUGCCAGCAGCCGCCGUAA